AGACCCGAAACCCGGUGAUCUAGCCAUGGGCAGGUUGAAGGUUGGGUAACACUAACUGGAGGACCGAACCGACUAAUGUUGAAAAAUUAGCGGAUGACCUGUGGCUGGGGGUGAAAGGCCAAUCAAACCGGGAGAUAGCUGGUUCUCCCCGAAAGCUAUUUAGGUAGCGCCUCGUGAAUUCAUCUCCGGGGGUAGAGCACUGUUUCGGCUAGGGGGCCAUCCCGGCUUACCAACCCGAUGCAAACUGCGAAUACCGGAGAAUGUUAUCACGGGAGACACACGGCGGGUGCUAACGUCCGUCGUGAAGAGGGAAACAACCCAGACCGCCAGCUAAGGUCCCAAAGUCAUGGUUAAGUGGGAAACGAUGUGGGAAGGCCCAGACAGCCAGGAUGUUGGCUUAGAAGCAGCCAUCAUUUAAAGAAAGCGUAAUAGCUCACUGGUCGAGUCGGCCUGCGCGGAAGAUGUAACGGGGCUAAACCAUGCACCGAAGCUGCGGCAGCGACACUGUGUGUUGUUGGGUAGGGGAGCGUUCUGUAAGCCUGCGAAGGUGGCCUGUGAGGGUUG
rnacentral:rRNA from 1 species